AUCCCAUGAUUAGGGCACUUUUUGAUUAAGUCCUUGAACCUCUCCCAAGCUUCAUAAAGAGAUUUGUUGUCUUGUUGGAUGAAGUUGUUUAUUUCAGCUCUUAGCUU